CCUACGGGAGGCAGCAGUAGGGAAUCUUCCACAAUGGGCGAAAGCCUGAUGGAGCAACGCCGCGUGGGUGAAGAAGGUCUUCGGAUCGUAAAACCCUGUUGUUAGAGAAGAAAGUGCGUGAGAGUAACUGUUCACGUUUCGACGGUAUCUAACCAGAAAGCCACGGCUAACUACGUGCCAGCAGCCGCGGUAAUACGUAGGUGGCAAGCGUUAGCCGGAUUUAUUGGGCGUAAAGGGAACGCAAGCGGUCUUUUAAGUCUGAUGUGAAAGCCUUCGGCUUAACCGGAGUAGUGCAUUGGAAACUGGGAGACUUGAGUGCAGAAGAGGAGAGUGGAACUCCAUGUGUAGCGGUGAAAUGCGUAGAUAUAUGGAAGAACACCAGUGGCGAAAGCGGCUUUCUGGUCUGUAACUGACGCUGAGGUUCGAAAGCGUGGGUAGCAAACAGGAUUAGAUACCCCUGUAGUC
rnacentral:rRNA from 1 species